rnacentral:lncRNA from 1 species
CAGUAAAUACAUCCACUUUAAUUAUUCAUUUCUAUUUGCUUGAAGAAACAUUCUUACAUGACACGCAUACGUCCGUGCAUUUCCUUGUUGCAGCAACAUGAAUUAAAUAAGCCUCUUUCAACAAGUAGACCAACUCCAAGGGAUUUCUCGCUAACUUGUUUUCUCUAUGCUCUUCGCACUUUCUCUGCUCAGUUGAAGAAAAGGUAGUGCCUGGUAACCCGGAAGAUGUCAGGAACAAGACAGGAGGAUCUUUCCAGUGCUCCUUCAAGUAACUUGGCUGACUUUCUACUCACUGGAAAUCUUCUUCCAAGUAUCCAGAGAGUGACACAAUGCACAGCCCGUGUCUUACAAGAACACUUGA